AUGGAAGAGCUGCCACCCAAAGCCCGUGACAGCACUCGGGUCACUGUGACAAAGACAGAGGCUUGCUUGAAUUUCAAACAUGGACUGAUUCGAAUAUUCCCUUUUUCUUCUUCAAAAACACAUAAAGUACUGAUAAAUGGUUUGAAGAGAGAGGCACUAAAAGGAUGAAAAUCCAGAGAAGAGACUGAAUGGAGCGAGUGCAGUAUCAGGCGUCGACGGGGAAUGCAAACAAGUGGCCAUCUCACUCUCCACCAUCUGCGCUCUGAAGACAGUUUUUCAGUGGCCACAAGCAUUCUUCAAAAGCUCUUUUGAGGCCGGUUUGGAAAGUUUGUGCUGGUGAUAUCUCUCUGUUUUAAACUCUGAAGACUAAACUUUGAAGUGGAAACUUUUUUCAAAGAUUUUUAGAAGUUUGAUUAUUUUGUGAACUAAGGCCAUAUGCAAGUAUGCUUACUUCAUACUGUAGCAGUGACUUUACUCCAGGACUCAAGAGACUUGCCUUUAAAAGUCUGUACCAUUAGACUAGACCUGCUAUUCACAUUCAUGUACUAGAGUAGAAUAUGUUUCGCAGUUUUAUGUGAAUGUGAAUAGUCCAUAAAAGGAUUUGGACACUUAAGGUACACUUAAAAAUCUCUGUUAUGUCUCUGUAAUUAGCAGGGUUAUUUUAGUAUUGUGUAUAUAGAGAGUUAGUAUUAAAUAAUUGUUUGGAUUAGCAUUUAUAUAUUUAGUUUUCAUUUUAUUUUUAAGUUUUUUUUUUUUUUUUUUUUUUUUUUUUUUUUGGUGCAUUAUUAAUUUGUUUUGUUGUUUAUUUCUAUUUAGCUUUCAUUUAUUUUUAUUUCAAUGUUUUUGUUAAUAAUCUUUGUACUUAAAAUUAUUCAGUUAUGUGAUAAAAUGUAAAUGGUAUAAAAGUUACAGUAAAUAUUGUGUAUACCGUUUUUGGAAAUUACUCAAUUUGCAUCCUGCUACAUUGUGAUUCUGUUAAAAUUGUGCACAAAAAUGAGAGAAUGUAACAUUUCAAUGUUAAGUAAUAAAUGUGAUGGAACACCUUUAUGGUCUUUUAAA
ensembl:lncRNA